rnacentral:rRNA from 1 species
ACGCUAAAGCUCGAAAGUGCGGGUAUCGAACAGGAUUAGAUACCCUGGUAGUCCGCACGGUAAACGAUGGAUGCCCGCUGUCUGCGAUAUACUGUAGGCGGCCAAGAGAAAUCGUUAAGCAUCCCACCUGGGGAGUACGCCGGCAACGGUGAAACUCAAAGGAAUUGACGGGGGCCCGCACAAGCGGAGGAACAUGUGGUUUAAUUCGAUGAUACGCGAGGAACCUUACCCGGGCUUGAACUGCAGGCGAACGAUACAGAGAUGUUGAGGCCCUUCGGGGCGCCUGUGGAGGUGCUGCAUGGUUGUCGUCAGCUCGUGCCGUGAGGUGUCGGCUUAAGUGUCAUAACGAGCGCAACCCCUUUCUCCAGUUGCCAUCAGGUUAUGCUGGGCACUCUGGAGACACUGCCACCGUAAGGUGUGAGGAAGGUGGGGAUGACGUCAAAUCAGCACGGCCCUUACGUCCGGGGCUACACACGUGUUACAAUGGGUGGUACAGAGAGCUAGACGCCAGCAAUGUCGUCUGAAUCAUGAAAGCCAUCCUCAGUUCGGAUUGGGGUCUGCAACCCGACCCCAUGAAGCUGGAUCGCUAGUAAUCGCGCA